rnacentral:rRNA from 1 species
AGGAUGAACGCUGGCGGCGUGCUUAACACAUGCAAGUCGAACGGUGAAAGGGGAGCUUGCUCCUCUCGAUCAGUGGCGAACGGGUGAGUAACACGUGAGUAACCUGCCCUUGACUCUGGGAUAAGCACUGGAAACGGUGUCUAAUACCGGAUACGACCUCCGAAGGCAUCUUCUGGAAGUGGAAAGAAUUUCGGUCAAGGAUGGACUCGCGGCCUAUCAGCUAGUUGGUGAGGUAACGGCCCACCAAGGCGACGACGGGUAGCCGGCCUGAGAGGGUGACCGGCCACACUGGGACUGAGACACGGCCCAGACUCCUACGGGAGGCAGCAGUGGGGAAUAUUGCACAAUGGGCGCAAGCCUGAUGCAGCAACGCCGCGUGAGGGACGACGGCCUUCGGGUUGUAAACCUCUUUUAGUAGGGAAGAAGCGAAAGUGACGGUACCUGCAGAAAAGCACCGGCUAACUACGUGCCAGCAGCCGC